rnacentral:rRNA from 1 species
AUUGAACGCUGGCGGCAUGCCUUACACAUGCAAGUCGAACGGUAACAGGUCUUCGGAUGCUGACGAGUGGCGAACGGGUGAGUAAUACAUCGGAACGUGCCUAGUAGUGGGGGAUAACUACUCGAAAGAGUGGCUAAUACCGCAUGAGAUCUACGGAUGAAAGCAGGGGAUCGCAAGACCUUGUGCUACUAGAGCGGCCGAUGGGAGAUUAGGUAGUUGGUGGGAUAAAAGCUUACCAAGCCGACGAUCUGUAGCUGGUCUGAGAGGACGAUCAGGCACACUGGGACUGAGACAGGGCCCAGGCUCCUACGGGAGGGAGCAGUGGGGAAUUUUGGACAAUGGGCGCAAGCCUGAUCCAGCAAUGCCGCGUGCAGGACGAAGGCCUUCGGGUUGUAAACUGCUUUUGUACGGAAAGAAAAGCCCUUGGUUAAUACCCUGGGGUCAUGACGGUACCGUAAGAAUAAGCACCGGCUAACUACGUGCCAGCAGCCGCGGUAA